GCAAACUUGGUCAUUUAGAGGAAGUAAAAGUCGUAACAAGGUUUCCGUAGGUGAACCUGCGGAAGGAUCAUCACUGAUUCGGGGAGAGUGUGUGUGCGUGCGCGUUUGCGCGCGCGCCGCGCCACCCAACCAAUCUUUUGUGCACGGUUUCACGGUCAACGAGAGACGCCGCGCGUGUGUUGGCAAGUGUGUUGUACUACUACUACUACUACUACUUGCCAACCGCAUGCGUCGUGCGCGUUCUCUGCCUACUUACACAAUCUUGUGCAACCUCUGUCUAACGCAUUACUUGAAUAUUAUUACACAACUUUCAACAAUGGAUCUCUUGGCUCUCGCAUCGAUGAAGAACGCAGC
rnacentral:misc_RNA from 1 species